GAUGAACGCUGGCGGCGUGCCUAAUACAUGCAAGUCGAGCGAACGGACGAGAAGCUUGCUUUUCUGAUGUUAGCGGCGGACGGGUGAGUAACACGUGGAUAACCUACCUAUAAGACUGAGAUAACUUCGGGAAACCGGAGCUAAUACCGGAUAAUAUUUUGAACCGCAUGGUUCAAAAGUGAAAGACGGUCUUGCUGUCACUUAUAGAUGGAUCCGCGCUGCAUUAGCUAGUUGGUAAGGUAACGGCUUACCAAGGCAACGGUGCAUAGCCGACCUGAGAGGGUGAUCGGCCACACUGGAACUGAGACACGGUCCAGACUCCUACGGGAGGCAGCAGGAGGGAAUCCUCCGCAAUGGGCGAAAGCCUGACGGAGCAACGCCGCGUGAGUGAUGAAGGGCUUCGGAUCGUAAAACUCUGUUAUUAGGGAAGAACAUAUGUGUAAGUAACUGUGCACAUCUUGACGGUACCUAAUCAGAAAGCCACGGCUAACUACGUG
rnacentral:rRNA from 1 species